ACCAAAGCCCAUUGAGGUCAAU
rnacentral:miRNA from 1 species